GGAUCUACUUUUCCAUGCGUUAUUCUCCGUGGAAGUGGGAUCAAAGCGGAUGAAGUCUCAGGCCUGUUACUCCUCUGCUUUGGGAGCAUAUUUUCAGGAAGUAAAAUGUAAGCCCUGAUAGCAUAACUCCUAAUGCUGGUAUCUCUUGGCGAAGAGAGUAUGGAGAUGUUGGGGUGCCAACACCUUCAGAGCCUGGCAGUACUCACACAGAUGCACUGUCUCUGGGAUCUGGAGCGUUACACUAAAGAUGUGAAAGGGACUUUGAAGAAGACUGCUAACACGAAGCGGACAGAUUUACUGCACUUGAAACAUACAGGGUUUUCCUAUUAGCGUAAUAACAUAACAGUAACAGUCCCUCUGAAACUACUGGAGCAGUAUCAGGAGAUGGUCACUGGGAAUAGAUUCAAGCCCAACAGGCACAAGGUAACCCAAACAGGUAACACAACGAGGCAAAGCCAAGAAGACUGAAAAUUAGAGAAGAUACUCUCUGCUUUAUGGCUCUCUGAGAUACCAUGGACCAGUUACCCACCAAAUACUGCAGAUCAGUAAGCUGUUCAAGUAAAAAGAGACCCAGGGACAGGAUAAAGGGAGAACAUUGGAAUCCAGGCUGUGUAAAUUCUGCUGCUCACAGAACUACUUGUUAGAAUAGGUUACACCAAGGUUGCUCCCACUCACUUAAGAACAGAAAACCUCAGACAUGCUUGUAGCAGGGUUGUUUGCGUUUAGCAACACUACUGGAAAUAGAAUGGUUAGAUAAAGGACACAGCUUUGUAAAGAUGAGAAGCAUUUCUGAUUAAAAUAUAACAGCUAUGGACAAGUAUUUUGCCUCUGAAGCAAACCCAUCUCUCUAGAAUGUCGCAGGUUUCCCAAAGAAUUUGGGAUCUUUGAGGUUAAUAGUCAAUGCAAGCACACAAUAAAGCAACUAAGAAGCAUGUAUGCUUGAGGAAUCCUUUCAGAUAAUAAAAGGAUUCUCCCAUGUUGCUUCCUGAAAUCUUCCCACAUGCCUGCACAGACUUGACGCUGACUAUGCUAUCUGCUAAGGGUGGCCCUGAGGUCCUUUUCCAGAUGAGACUCACCUUUCUACCAAAGUGUGAAUCUGCUCACAUGUGCCAGGUGUGUCGGUCUGCCUGUGGAAGCAACUGUGACGGUGAUUUGUGCACCAUUCUUGAAGUCAUGCAGGAUGAAAGGGACAAACUGAACAUACUCCUCCAGAGACUGCUGUUGAGGUGUUUGCCUCCACUGAUUUAGCCAGCAUGGUUCUGCUUGUACCACUUACUCCAUCCAAAACCAGAUUUCCUUCCCAGGAUGAGGCUAGAGAAGAGGAGGUACCAAUAGGAUACCUGUAAGAAUCUGUGUCAAGGCUAUGUUUAAUUUAAGAUCUUAGUUAAAUAGAAACAGUACCUGAAAGUGAUAAACAUUACCAGAAACUGGUCGAAUCUCAGUUGGGGAAUACUGCAAGUCUGUAGCCAAGGAGAUUUAAGUUCAAGAAUCUAUCUAUCAAAAUGAAGAAAUCUGCAAGUGAUCAUUCCAAGAGAUGAAGAAUUUAAAAAAUGAAGCAGAUGUCAAACGCUGCCAUAUGAAGAAGGCUGCAGAAAGGCCAGUGCAGCUGAGGAUUCAAAUUUCCAUUUCUCCUCCAAAAGGAGCUUUUCCUGCAGGAGAAGUACGGGUCUGGGCACCAUUCCUGUGCAAGUGUCUGCUGGUCUCCCCACCCGCUCCACCUAAAAUAGUGGAGGUGAGUCCAAGAGGAGGGGAGGAACUGCACGCUGCUGCGGUUUCCCCCAUCUUUUGUGAGCUCCAGUGCCUGGAGCUGCUGUUCCCCAGAGAGGAAGUGUGAUCCUGCUGUGGGUCAGGCUCAGGCUGGGAAAUUUUGCUCUAGGCGGGGGACUGUUUUAUGCAUAGCUGUUGUGCUUCAUGCAGUAGUUGACGUAAUUUGAUUCAGUAUGCAGAAGUCAAUGUAGCUCCCUUGCCGUGUGUAUCCCUUGUGAUCUUCUAAUGGUGGUGAUCAAGGACACUGUUUCCUCUAAACCUCAUCUUUGAAACGCUAAACUCAAGGCACCUUGGCCCUGGUUCCAGCUCUGCUGUCAUUUGCUUUUGCUGUGCCUGACUUGAGCCACCUAUAAAAGAAACAGCAUGGAUGUAAGGGACGUAGUGAAGGCUGCAGGCACUCGGACAGUCCUCACUCCUUCAUUCUGUUACCCUUCCUUUCUCAUUCACCCAGUAGAAUCCAGGCACUGGGCAAAUGAGGCAGCUCCUUCUUGCUCCGAGAACCAGCAUUUUCCCUCUUACCACCUAUGUCUUGAAAUGAUAACUACGCACAUAUAGUUUACUUGUGUGUCGUUCCUUAACUGUAAGGAAAGUACUUGCGGGGGAGAGGCAGAGAUUUGGCCCUUAAUGAGUUUAAUUCGUUUCACUUAGUUGCCAGUAGAUGGCUCUCUGAAUUUACAGUCCCUUAUUUACUUCAUUGUUUAUCGAAUUAUGCUGGACGCAUUUCCAGUGGAAAAUGUUCACUGUUUUUGCUUUGAGGAAGUUUACGUAAGAACAAGGAAGCAAUGGGACGAGUAAAUAGACUGCUAACAGACAAGGCACGGGAUCAGUUCACUUUUUGCAAAAUGUUUUGUGGCUACAAUCCAAAAGAUUUUUCUUGUGCAAGAUCCAACGUUAAGAAUUAGCAGACUCAAGGAGUUAUAUCUAUAAUUACAAGAUGCGCUUGCCACAUUUGAUUAUAGCCAACUAAAAUUCAUUGUCAAUAAAAAAGAAAGCAUUUCAGCCACUUA